rnacentral:rRNA from 1 species
AUUGACCUCGGAUCAGGUAGGGAUACCCGCUGAACUUAAGCAUAUCAAUAAGCGGAGGAAAAGAAACCAACAGGGAUUGCCCUAGUAACGGCGAGUGAAGCGGCAACAGCUCAAAUUUGAAAUCUGGCUCCUUUGGGGUCCGAGUUGUAAUUUGUAGAGGGUGCUUUGGCGUUGGUUGUGGUCUAAGUUCCUUGGAACAGGACGUCACAGAGGGUGAGAAUCCCGUACGUGGCCGCCAGCCUCCGCCGUGUAAAGCCCCUUCGAUGAGUCGAGUUGUUUGGGAAUGCAGCUCUAAAUGGGAGGUAAAUUUCUUCUAAAGCUAAAUAUUUGCCAGAGACCGAUAGCGCACAAGUAGAGUGAUCGAAAGAUGAAAAGCACUUUGGAAAGAGAGUCAAAAAGCACGUGAAAUUGUUGAAAGGGAAGCGCUUGCAGCUAGACGUGCCUUGGGUUGAUCAGCCGGACUUUUGCCCGGUGCACUCUUCCUUUGGCAGGCCAGCAUCAGUUUCGGCGGCUGGAUAAAGGUCUGUUAAACGUGACUUCCUUCGGGGAGAGCUUAUAGGGCAGACGACAUGCAGCCAGCCUGAACUGAGGUCCGCGCAUCUGCUAGGAUGCUGGCGUAAUAGCUGUAAGCGGCCCGUCUUGAAACACGGACCAAGGAGUCUAACAUCUAUGCGAGUGUUUGGGUGUCAAGCCCGAGCGCGUAAUGAAAGUAAACGGAGGUGGGAACCUUUUAGGUGCACCAUCGACCGAUCCUGAUGUCUUCGGAUGGAUUUGAGUAAGAGCAUAGCUGUUGGGACCCGAAAGAUGGUGAACUAUGCCUGAAUAGGGUGAAGCCAGAGGAAACUCUGGUGGAGGCUCGCAGCGGUUCUGACGUGCAAAUCGAUCGUCAAAUUUGGGCAUAGGGGCGAAAGACUAAUCGAACUAUCUAGUAGCUGGUUCCUGCCGAAGUUUCCCCUCAGG